CAAAGGCCUGAUGACUUUGCAAGAAACAUGUCCUUAAAUACUGGGUAAGUCUAUAUUAAACAGUGACAGUGACAGUGACAUUGACAGUGACAUAGCAUUUUUACCCUGUAUAUUGUGUGGUCACAGCUAUAAUGUGCAGUAUUACAAACUAUUCAUAAGUGUUGUGCCAACUGUUCUUUAAAAGCCAGUGGUCUAGUGAGCUAUUUAUUUAUUUAUUCUUUAAAGCUCU